rnacentral:rRNA from 1 species
AUUGAACGCUGGCGGCAGGCCUAACACAUGCAAGUCGAACGAGUGGCGGACGGGGGAGUAAUGUCUGGGAAACUGCCUGAUGGAGGGGGAUAACUACUGGAAACGGUAGCUAAUAACGCAUACCAUCGGAUGUGCCCAGAUGGGAUUAGCUAGUAGGUGGGGUAACGGCCCACCUAGGCGACGACCCCUAGCUGGUCUGAGAGGAUGACCAGCCACACUGGAACUGAGACACGGUCCAGAGUCCGACGAGAGGCAGCAGUGGGGAAUAUUGCACAAUUGGCGCAAGCCGGAUGCAGCCAUGCCGCGUGUAUGAAGAAGGCCUUCGGGUUGUAAAGUACUUUCAGCGUUGAGGCGUUACCCGCAGAAGAAGCACCGGCUAACUCCGUGCCAGCAGCCGCGGUAAUAC